AUUUUUGGAACUAGGAGUUGGAAUA
rnacentral:piRNA from 3 species